rnacentral:lncRNA from 1 species
UGGUAUUGACAGGAAACAGGCACAAAGUAACCUUCUGGGUUGCUGAUCUGAAGGGGGUUAUAUGGGCAAAUACAUCUCUAAAAAUCCAUCAACUUAUAAUUUAAUACUAAUUGCUUUACAUUUUGACAUUUUAAAAAAGACUAUGCCUUUUUUGAAAAAGAAAAAUAAGAAAUAAACAAAGAGCUGCAUUAGACUUCUUAAGUGCCACACUGGAACCAAAAACACCAUGAAGGAAUGCCUGGAAAAUUCCAACAAAAAAUGGCUUUGAUUCUAGAAUUUCAGACCCAUCCAAACUUCCAAUCAAUUAUGAAAGCAAAUCAUCCUACCCAAAGGGGAGGAAAGUCUCUUUGAAAGCAUUUCUCCUAGCCUGCUCAGAGAAGAUGCUCAUUUUCAGAAUUUUUAAGAAACAGGAAAAAAUAUAGACAAGAUUAUACAGAGAGGGGAAGAAUGAGAAGAGAAGAGAAGGAUAAUAAGAAUUCUGAGGAACAUCAACAUUUAAAACGGAAAUGAAGAAAAGCCUGCGAAGAAGACUGCAAAGGUAGGCCAAGACCUAAAGGUGGUUCUGGAAUUAUUUGAUAUUGGGUGGCAGAUGAGGAAACUGGAGCAAGGAGAGGAUUUUGCUCCAAAGUCUAAUGGCUAACUGAGCUGAGGUUUGAAUCCAGGCAAUAGUCACCAGAGCUGCACUCACAAACUCAAAACUGUAGUGUGAGGAAGGUGGAUCACAUGCUUUGGAAGUAUUUCAGGCUGGGAAGUCUUCCAGUUUCUGGAAGAAAGAUAUGAUAAAGCCCAUAACAGAGGAUAUGGGAGCCAGCCAAGGAAGUGAACCCAUACACAUGUUCCCAGCUUCUACAGAGGGCCAAAUUCUGAUAGGAAAUUCUUUACGUGUGUGUGUGUGUGUGUGUGUGUGUGUGUGUGUAAUUUUAAGUUCUGGGAUACAUGUGCAGUAUGUGCAGUUUUGUUACAUAGGUAUACAUGUGCCAUGGUGGUUUGCUGCACCACUGAUAGGAAAUUAGGUAGCCACACACACAAGUAUAGACAUGGCUACUGAGUAAGACUUAUGAAAAUCUAGCUCUUAGCACAACUGUAAGCACAGAAUGAAUUUAGCAAACUUUUCCACAUCUCUGCAGACAAAGCCCUGGUUUUUAGUACAGACAUCCUGAAAGGUUACUUAUCCUGAUGUCAGGUGUAGCCUUGAGAAGUCCAGUGAUUCAAUGUUCAGGAAGAAAAUGUGUGAAAUGUAUCUCAACAAAUUGAGCCUGCUGUUUAGGAGGCUUUGCAUCCAUUUUUAAGGAAAAUUAUUCAUAACUACUCAAACCCAAGCAUGCAAGUCUGUAGCUAAAGAAUUCCAAGGGCAAAGGGUUUUCCAGGUGAAGCCAAAUGUAACCUUUAGAUAAUUGAGAGUAGCAAUAUCACAGAAAAAGAACUUCAAGCUUUGUUGCUAUUGUUUAGUGUCAGCAUGAGAGUUUUCAUCCUGAAUUGCUCUUAAAUCCUGAUUCAUUUGAAAAUUAAUCCAAAUGUCUUCCCACCAACUCUUCUCCCUUCUGGUAAAUUUUAUUAAGCAAUAAAUUCACAUCAAACAUUAUUUAUUGGGAAACAUCAGAUGAAACCAUUCAAAUUUUACUAUACAGUAGAUAUACCAAAGAAGUCAGCAUUCCCCCUUCAUAUUUUUUCAUGAGGAGGGCCACUGAGAUCUUUUCUCCUCAAGACAUGACUCCUCAGGAAGGGGUCUUGGCACCAAUAUGCAGGAGGAUGCUUGCAGAGCUGGGACUUUGGCAUUUUAAAAGCCACGUGGCUCUAGGCAUGCUCCAAGUGUUCCUAGCUCAAGUCUUAUAGUUAAGUCCAGAUUUCACAGCCGAAGGCACUGAGCUGCAAGCUUCCUCGCCAAAGGCCCAAAGCAGUAAGCAGAAGGUGCUUCCUGGCCCUGACUCAACUGGUGCAGAAGGACACCCUAUUGAUGGUGAUGCAGGAGCAGCUCUGAGCCUUCUCUGAGUGAUCCGGAAAGCAUUAUCCUACCCAAAGGGGAGGAAAGUCUCUUUGAAAGCAUUUCUGCUCAGAGAUGAAGACAAAAACCAUAAUGGGAAGGACCAAUAUCCCAAACAUCACUGACAUUACCUGGGUGUUCUGCUUGCAAAAACAUUUUGCUAAUAAAAAGAAAACGUGAUCCCAUCACUAACUGUCCCUAAAGCAAGUCAUCUGCCUUUUCAUGGUCUCAAGGGGCUCAUCUGUAAAAUGAAGAGUUGAACUAAAUGAUGGUUGAGGUUCCAUACUGUCUAGUAAUAAAAACUGUCAAAAGUGGUCACAUACUGUCAAUUUCAUAUGGCUUGAUGCACACACAUGCACACUCACUGUGUGUACACCCUCACAAACAUUUAUUCAUUCGAUAAGUAUUGCCUACUAUAAGCCAAGCAUUCUUCUAGGCACUGAAGAUAUAGCAGCAAACAAAGCAGAGCCCUGCUCACUUGGAGCUUACGUUCUAGGAUUGGUAAAAGCAAAAAUAUAGCAAAUUAACUAGUAUAUCCAAGGGGGUGGAAUGAGAAAGGGAGAGAGUAAGAGAGAGAGACACCAAGUGGGGAGAGUAGAAGGAGAUAGAAAGAUCACCAGGGCCUGGCAAAGCCUUGCUUUUCCUCUGAGUGAGAUGGGAAGGCAUUGGAGGGUUCUGAGCAACGUAAUAGGACACACAUGCUUACAAGAUGAUUCUCACUGCUCUGUGGCAGACAGACUUGUAGGGACAAGAGUAGAAACAGGGAGACCAGUCGGGAGACCGUUGCAAUCAUCCAGAUGAGGGAUGACGGUGGCUUGGACCUGGUGGCAACGGUGGAGCUGAAAGUCUUGGCUGUUCUGUAUUCUGAAGGCAAAGUCAAUAGGAUUUGCUACUGGACAGCAUGUGGAGUGUGAGUGAAAGAUGACGCCAAGAUUUUUCACUGGAAUAAGUGGAAUAAUGAAGUUCCCAUUUACUGAUCUGGUAAAGACUACGGAAGGAACAUAUUUAGAGCUGGGGGAAGAUAGGAAUCUGGAUGUUUAAGUAUGAAACGUUUGAACUGGCUUUUAGAUAUCUUAUGAAAGUGUGGUGUUAAUACCACAGGCAUCCAGAAUCUUCUUUGGAGAAAAAUUUUAAAUAUAAUCCCCGGUAAAAACACUCAUAUCUUUUAUUUGGGAACUCCCCAGAGAGUACCUGUGACAUGUGGUAUGGUGGUAAACAUUUAACAACAUGUUCUCCGAGGAGGAAAAAAAAAUCCUGAAUUAGUAGCAUUUGCUGAUUUCCGUGCUGUCAAUACUCCCACCACGGCUAACUUCAGGCUACUAGUGUGAAGUCACUGAGGGAAGAGGUGCUGUCCCAAACCAGCUUGAGCAGCAGUUCCAGCACACCCCACAGCAACCUCUCCCCAAGCCCCCCACCUUCCCCUCCGAAGACAGAGAAAGAGGGGGAAUCAGGAACAAUCCUAGAAGUCGGGGGGGGUGGGUGUGACAACCUUAGUUGUUAUGCUUUAAACACCUUUGCAGGAUUUUGAAAAAACAGGUUGUAUGAGAAAGCCUGAGCCGUUUCUAUUAUAAACAGCUGCCUAUUGUAACAACUAGAUCCAGGAUCUGACAUUAAUUAUUGCCAAUAUAAAACAAAUUUACUCUCAAAUUUCAGUGAGGGUAGAGCAGGACAUGGGAGGAUGGGAUCUCUAGCCCUCCUGAUGGUCCUCCAAGUCACUUUUGAAAAAAAGGAAAACCUCUGUAUUUCUGUUGGGUUUCUGAGCCCCAUAUUCCUUUCUAAAUUAGUCAGGGAAUAUUUGAAUCACUUGCAAAUCUGGAGUAAGAAAAGCAAUGUUUGCUUUAGACUUUAACAUGCCCCUGGAGAGAACUAUCUUCUCAGGUCAAAGAAUGACAUUAGGUUUGCAUUAGCAAACUCUGUUGUCCAGUCAGCAAAUUAAGAAUUCUUAGGAAAGGAUCUAUUUCCUCCUCCACACUGGAACAAGGGUUCUUAAUCCUUUCUGCAUUUUAGAAUUAGAUCACAAAGUUCUUUAAGAUAUUCAUACUGGGGCCCCACACCCAGCGACUCAGGUUCUGAAGUGAGACCUGGGCGUGGGUAUGUUUGAAAUGCUCCCCUGCUGAUUCUAAUGCGUAGCCAGGGUUGAGAACCACUGCACCAGAAAUUCAAAUAAUGUGGUUAGAAUCAACCCAAUCACUUUGUGGUUGUUAAAGGAACACUCAAAUACACAGAAAGUGGCUCAGUGAAGAAGAAAUAGCACAGGGCUAAAAAUGAACAAGUCCAGGGUUCUAGUCCUACUUCUGCCAUGUGGCAUACAUCGUCAGAAAAGCUAUUGAACAAUCUGGAUGUCAGAGGGUUAGAACAGAUGGCCUCUGGGCUCAUUCAUCCCCCUGACAUUCUCUAUCCACUAAAAUAGGGGAGCUGUGUCAUAGGAUUUUCACUUUGGCACCCAGUAAGGAAGCUACCUGUAGGGCCUGAGGGUGUGUUUUCAUAAGAAUGGCAGCAUGGCUGUUGUUGCUUGCAACUAACCAAACGGCUGGUAAAUAUCUUGAUAAGGAAUGCCUAAGCAAAACAAGGCUGGGCGAAAUGAUUUGCCCAAAAUAAAGCCUCUGUGUGGGAUGGUCAGGUUCAUAGGCAGUGCCAGCCUUUCCCAGCUCUCACACCUGACUUCAGCGUCCUGAUUCUCUCACCUCACAAUAAUGCAGCAGAACAAAUGUUCUUUAAAACCCUGAAAUUUCUCAUGGUUCCUGACAAAACAAUAAAGCAAUCAAAGGUCAAUUAAGAAAUGUAUUCUAAAAUCAGCUGGGCGU